rnacentral:rRNA from 1 species
UACGUAGGGUGCGAGCGUUGUCCGGAAUUACUGGGCGUAAAGAGCUCGUAGGUGGUUUGUCGCGUUGUCCGUGAAAACUCACAACUCAAUUGUGGGCGUGCGGGCGAUACGGGCAGACUGGAGUACUGCAGGGGAGACUGGAAUUCCUGGUGUAGCGGUGGAAUGCGCAGAUAUCAGGAGGAACACCGGUGGCGAAGGCGGGUCUCUGGGCAGUAACUGACGCUGAGGCACGAAAGCGUGGGGAUCAAACAGG